rnacentral:rRNA from 1 species
CUACGGGACGCUGCAGUGAGGAAUAUUGCACAAUGGGGGGAACCCUGAUGCAGCAACGCCGCGUGGAGGAUGACGCAUUUCGGUGUGUAAACUCCUUUUAUAUGUCAAGAAAAUGACGGUAGCAUAUGAAUAAGCGUCGGCUAACUCCGUGCCAGCAGCCGCGGUAAUACGGAGGGCGCAAGCGUUACUCGGAAUCACUGGGCAUAAAGGACGCGUAGGCGGGUUGAAAAGCCAGGUGUGAAAGCCUACAGCUUAACUGUAGAACUGCACUUGAAACUCUCAAUCUAGAGUAUGGGAAGGGCAGAUGGAAUUAGUGGUGUAGGGGUAACAUCCGUAGAUAUCACUAGGAAUACCUAAAGCGAAGGCGAUCUGCUGGAACAUUACUGACGCUAAGGCGUGAAAGCGUGGGGAGCAAACAGGAUUAGAUACCCCAGUAGUC